AGAGUUUGAUCCUGGCUCAGGACGAACGCUGGCGGCAUGCCUUACACAUGCAAGUCGAACGGUAACAGGCCGCAAGGUGCUGACGAGUGGCGAACAGGUGAGUAAUGCAUCGGAACGUGCCCAGUAGUGGGGGAUAGCCCGGCGAAAGCCGGAUUAAUACCGCAUACGACCUGAGGGUGAAAGGGGGGGAUCGCAAGACCUCUCGCUAUUGGAGCGGCCGAUGUCAGAUUAGCUAGUUGGUGGGGUAAAGGCCUACCAAGGCAACGAUCUGUAGUUGGUCUGAGAGGACGACCAGCCACACUGGGACUGAGACACGGCCCAGACUCCUACGGGAGGCAGCAGUGGGGAAUUUUGGACAAUGGGCGCAAGCCUGAUCCAGCAAUGCCGCGUGCAGGAAGAAGGCCUUCGGGUUGUAAACUGCUUUUGUCAGGGAAGAAAUCUUCUGGGUCAAUACCUCGGGAGGAUGACGGUACCUGAAGAAUAAGCACCGGCUAACUACGUGCCAGCAGCCGCGGUAAUACGUAGGGUGCGAGCGUUAAUCGGAAUUACUGGGCGUAAAGCGUGCGCAGGCGGCUUUGCAAGACAGAGGUGGAAUCCCCGGGCUCAACCUGGGAACUGCCUUUGUGACUGCAAGGCUAGAGUACGGCAGAGGGGGAUGGAAUUCCGCGUGUAGCAGUGAAAUGCGUAGAUAUGCGGAGGAACACCAAUGGCGAAGGCAAUCCCCUGGGCCUGUACUGACGCUCAUGCACGAAAGCGUGGGGAGCAAACAGGAUUAGAUACCCCGGUAGUCCAA
rnacentral:rRNA from 1 species